UACGGGGGGGGCAAGCGUUGUUCGGAAUUACUGGGCGUAAAGGGCUCGUAGGCGGCCAACUAAGUCAGACGUGAAAUCCCUCGGCUUAACCGGGGAACUGCGUCUGAUACUGGAUGGCUUGAGGUUGGGAGAGGGAUGCGGAAUUCCAGGUGUAGCGGUGAAAUGCGCAGAUAUCAGGAGGAACACCGGUGGCGAAGGCGGUUCUCUGGGCAUGUCCUGACGCUGAGGAGCGAAAGUGUGGGGAGCGAACAGG
rnacentral:rRNA from 1 species